GCAGGUGGCGCAGUGGUUAGCGCUCUCACCUUCUAGUUGAAGGCUAUGGGCUCGAGUUCCAUCUCCUGCU
rnacentral:tRNA from 1 species